GGGUUUGUGAGGAGGAGGGGCUGGGAGGACGGGGGGGGGGGGGGGGGGGUUCUAUACAUUAACACAUAUACACCGAAACAAAUUCUCAUGGAAUGCUUGUCGCGUUCAACGCAAGACAAUACAACUUUCAGCAACGGAUCUCUUGGCUCUCGCAUCGAUGAAGAACGCAGCGAAUUGCGAUAAGUAAUGUGAAUUGCAGAAUUCAGUGAAUCAUCGAAUCUUUGAACGCACCUUGCGCCCUUUGGCCAUUCCGAAGGGCAUGCCUGUUUGAGUAUCAUGAACACCUCAACUCUCAUGGUCCGCCGUGAUGAGCUUGGACUUUGGAGGUCUUGCUGGCCUGUGGCCAGCUCCUCUCAAAUGAAUCAGCUUUCCAGUGUUGGUGGCAUCGCAGGUGGGAUAACUAUCUACGCUUGUGGUGUUCUGCCAGGUGACCCUGGGGCUCAUAAACGUCUCUCCUUGGUGGAGACAGCUUUGUGAACGUUUGAUCUCAAUUCAGGUAGGGCUACCCGCUGAACUUCAGCAUAUCAAUAAGCGGAGGAACCCCCGCUUAUUGAUA
rnacentral:rRNA from 1 species